rnacentral:rRNA from 1 species
CCUACGGGAGGCAGCAGUGAGGAAUAUUGGUCAAUGGGCGCGAGCCUGAACCAGCCAAGUCGCGUGAGGGAAGACGGUCCUAUGGAUUGUAAACCUCUUUUGUCGAGGAGCAAAAGACGCCACGCGUGGCGUUCCGAGAGUACCCUAAGAAAAAGCAUCGGCUAACUCCGUGCCAGCAGCCGCGGUAAUACGGAGGAUGCGAGCGUUAUCCGGAUUUAUUGGGUUUAAAGGGUGCGCAGGCGGAAGAUCAAGUCAGCGGUAAAAUUGGGAGGCUCAACCUCUUCGAGCCGUUGAAACUGGGUGUCUUGAGUGAGCGAGAAGUAUGCGGAAUGCGUGGUGUAGCGGUGAAAUGCAUAGAUAUCACGCAGAACUCCGAUUGCGAAGGCAGCAUACCGGCGCUCAACUGACGCUCAUGCACGAAAGUGUGGGUAUCGAACAGGAUUAGAUACCCCUGUAGUC